CCUACGGGAGGCUGCAGUGGGGGAUAUUGCACAAUGGGGGAAACCCUGAUGCAGCGACGCCGCGUGUGGGAAGACGGUCCUCUGGAUUGUAAACCACUGUCCCCAGGGACGAAGAUGACGGUACCUGGGGAGGAAGCUCCGGCUAACUACGUGCCAGCAGCCGCGGUAAUACGUAGGGAGCGAGCGUUGUCCGGAAUUACUGGGUGUAAAGGGAGCGUAGGCGGGGAUGCAAGUUGGGUGUGAAAACCACGGGCUCAACCUGUGGCCUGCAUUUGAAACUGUAGUUCUUGAGUACUGGAGAGGCAGACGGAAUUCCUAGUGUAGCGGUGAAAUGCGUAGAUAUUAGGAGGAACACCAGUGGCGAAGGCGGCUUACUGGACUGUAACUGACGUUGAGGCUCGAAAGCGUGGGGAGCAAACAGGAUUAGAUACCCCUGUAGUC
rnacentral:rRNA from 1 species